GAUCUGCUCAGGAUGAACGCUAGCUACAGGCUUAACACAUGCAAGUCGAGGGGCAGCAUGAACUUAGCUUGCUAAGUUUGAUGGCGACCGGCGCACGGGUGAGUAACACGUAUCCAACCUGCCGAUGACUCGGGGAUAGCCUUUCGAAAGAAAGAUUAAUACCCGAUGGCAUAGUUCUUCCGCAUGGUAGAACUAUUAAAGAAUUUCGGUCAUCGAUGGGGAUGCGUUCCAUUAGGUUG
rnacentral:rRNA from 1 species